rnacentral:rRNA from 1 species
GCCGUUAUGCAUGCCCUUUCGAACGGUCUUAAGCAAUUAAGAUAGUGCCGAACGGGUGAGUAACGCGUAAGUAACCUACCUCUAAGUGGGGGAUAGCUUCGGGAAACUGAAGGUAAUACCGCAUGUGGUGGACCGACAUAUGUUGGUUCACUAAAGCCGUAAGGCGCUUGGUGAGGGGCUUGCGUCCGAUUAGCUAGUUCGUGGGGUAAUGGCCUACCAAGGCUUCGAUCGGUAGCUGGUCUGAGAGGAUGAUCAGCCACACUGGGACUGAGACACGGCCCAGACUCCUACGGGAGGCAGCAGCAAGGAAUCUUGGGCAAUGGGCGAAAGCCUGACCCAGCAACGCCGCGUGAGGGAUGAAGGCUUUCGGGUUGUAAACCUCUUUUCAUAGGGAAGAAUAAUGACGGUACCUGUGGAAUAAGCUUCGGCUAACUACGUG